AUACGGAGGAUCCGAGCGUUAUCCGGAUUUAUUGGGUUUAAAGGGUGCGCAGGCGGGAGAUUAAGUCGGCGGUGAAAUUUUGCAGCUCAACUGUAAAAGUGCCUUCGAAACUGGUUUCCUUGAGUGUAGAUGAAGUAGGCGGAAUUUGUGGUGUAGCGGUGAAAUGCAUAGAUAUCACGAGGAACUCCGAUUGCGCAGGCAGCGUACUAAACUACUACUGACGCUCAGGCACGAAGGCGUGGGGAUCAAACAGGAUUAGAUACCCUGGUAGUCCACGCAGUAAACGAUGAUUACUAGCUGUUUGCGAUACAAUGUAAGCGGCUGAGCGAAAGCGUUAAGUAAUCCACCUGGGGAGUACGUUCGCAAGAAUGAAACUCAAAGGAAUUGACGGGG
rnacentral:rRNA from 1 species